rnacentral:rRNA from 1 species
AACGAACGCUGGCGGCGUGGAUUAGGCAUGCAAGUCGAACGCGAAAGAGGGGGCAACCCCUCAAGUAGAGUGGCGAACGGGUGAGUAACGCGUGAAGAACCUGCCUUCAACAGGGGGAUAACACUCCCAACGGGGUGCUAAUACCGCAUGAGACCACGGAUCCGCAUGGAUCUGAGGUCAAGGGUGGCCUCUGCUUGCAAGCUACCGGUUGAAGAUGGCUUCGCGUCCCAUUAGCUAGUUGGCGGUGUAAAAGACCACCAAGGCGACGAUGGGUAGCUGGUCUGAGAGGAUGGUCAGCCACACUGGGACUGAGAUACGGCCCAGACUCCUACGGGAGGCAGCAGUCGAGAGGCUUUUGGCAAUGGGGAAACCCUGACCAAGCGACGCCGCGUGGAGGAUGAAGGCCCUUGGGUU